UACGUAGGUGGCAAGCGUUGUCCGGAAUUAUUGGGCGUAAAGCGCGCGCAGGCGGUCCUUUAAGUCUGAUGUGAAAGCCCACGGCUCAACCGUGGAGGGUCAUUGGAAACUGGGGAACUUGAGUGCAGGAGAGAAGAGUGGAAUUCCACGUGUAGCGGUGAAAUGCGUAGAGAUGUGGAGGAACACCAGUGGCGAAGGCGACUCUUUGGUCUGUAACUGACGCUGAGGCGCGAAAGCGUGGGGAGCAAACAGG
rnacentral:rRNA from 1 species